UACGGAGGAUGCGAGCGUUAUCCGGAUUUAUUGGGUUUAAAGGGUGCGUAGGCGGACGCUUAAGUCAGCGGUAAAAUUGCGGGGCUCAACCUCGUCGAGCCGUUGAAACUGGCAGACUUGAGUUGGCGAGAAGUACGCGGAAUGCGCGGUGUAGCGGUGAAAUGCAUAGAUAUCGCGCAGAACUCCGAUUGCGAAGGCAGCGUACCGGCGCCAGACUGACGCUGAGGCACGAAAGCGUGGGGAUCGAACAGG
rnacentral:rRNA from 1 species